rnacentral:rRNA from 1 species
UACGUAGGUGGCAAGCGUUGUCCGGAUUUACUGGGCGUAAAGGGCGUGCAGGCGGUCUGUUAAGUGCAGGGUGAAAGCUCCCGGCUCAACUGGGGAGGGUCACGCGAUACUGUUCGACUCGAAGGCAGGAGAGGGAAGCAGAAUUCCCGGUGUAGUGGUGAAAUGCGUAGAUAUCAGGAGGAAUACCAGUGGCGAAGGCGGCUUCCUGGCCUGUUCUUGACGCUGAGGCGCGAAAGCUAGGGUAGCAAACGGG